CAGCCGCCACGGUAAUACGAAGGUCCCGAGCGUUGUUCGGAAUCACUGGGCGUAAAGGGAGCGUAGGCGGCGUGGUAAGUCAGAUGUGAAAUCCCGGGGCUCAACCCCGGAACUGCAUCCGAUACUGCCAUGCUAGAGGAUUGGAGAGGUAGCUGGAAUUCUUGGUGUAGCAGUGAAAUGCGUGGAGAUCAAGAGGAACACUCGUGGCGAAAGCGAGCUACUGGACAAUAACUGACGCUGAGGCUCGAAGGCCAGGGUAGCGAAAGGGAUUAGAUACCCCCGUAGUCCCUGUCUCUUAUAA
rnacentral:rRNA from 1 species